UAACUAUGGCUUUCGGAGACUAUCCAAAGGAAUAUAACCCAGCGGUUCACGGGCCAUACGAUCCGGCUCGCUAUUAUGGAAAACGUAAGUGCUUGCCAGA
rfam:Papilio machaon contig66692, whole genome shotgun sequence.